GAAAUGCGAUAAGUAAUGUGAAUUGCAGAAUUCCGUGAAUCAUCGAAUCUUUGAACGCACAUUGCGCCCUCUGGUAUUCCGGGGGGCAUGCCUGUCCGAGCGUCAUUGCGAACCCCUCAAGCACGGCUUGUGUGAUGGGCCCUCCCGCGUCUUGGUCGUCAAGACGGGCCCGAAAUGCAGUGACGGCUUCGCGGUUAUCCGAUCAGCCAGAGCGUAUGGGGACUUUCUCUCUGUCACACGCCCGCGGCGCGGACCGACGCCUGUCGACCUUUAUUCAUCUUUUUCUCGGUUGACCUCGGAUCAGGUAGGGAUACCCGCUGAACUUAAGC
rnacentral:misc_RNA from 1 species